rnacentral:sRNA from 1 species
UUUGGAAGUAAAAGUCGUAACAAGGUCUCCGUUGGUGAACCAGCGGAGGGAUCAUUACAGGACUCGCAAGACUCCCGUACACCCCUGUGAACAUUACUUACAGUCGUUGCCUCGGCGGGUGCCCCUCGGGGCGCCUCCAGCCCGCCGGCGGCCCACUACUCUUCUGUUUUUGCCCCUGGCAUCUCGGAGUUUAUACAAACGAAUCAAAACUUUCAACAACGGAUCUCUUGGUUCUGGCAUCGAUGAAGAACGCAGCGAAAUGCGAUAAGUAAUGUGAAUUGCAGAAUUCAGUGAAUCAUCGAAUCUUUGAACGCACAUUGCGCCCGCCGGCAUCCCGGCGGGCAUGCCUGUUCGAGCGUCAUUUCAACCCUCAGGCCCCCCCCGGCCUGGUGUUGGAGCCCUGCGGCGCAGGCUCCCAAAGACAGCGGCGGGCGUGCCCCGGUACCGAGCAUAGUAGCUUCACUUGCUUGGGUUCCAGGGCGCGUCCCGGCCGUAAAACCCCUAACUUUCUCAUGGUGACCU